rnacentral:rRNA from 1 species
UACGAAGGGGGCUAGCGUUGCUCGGAAUCACUGGGCGUAAAGGGUGCGUAGGCGGGUCUUUAAGUCAGGGGUGAAAUCCUGGAGCUCAACUCCAGAACUGCCUUUGAUACUGAGGAUCUUGAGUUCGGGAGAGGUGAGUGGAACUGCGAGUGUAGAGGUGAAAUUCGUAGAUAUUCGCAAGAACACCAGUGGCGAAGGCGGCUCACUGGCCCGAUACUGACGC